rnacentral:tRNA from 1 species
GGGCACGUAACUCAGUUGGAUAGAGUAUCAGAUUCCUAAUCUGAAAGUCGGGGGUUCGAAUCCCUCCGUGCCCA